UUAGAUCUACACACAACAAAAUCCUCCCACUACACAAAACCCUCCAGCCACUCUUUCUCCAUUCAUUUCCUUCCCCUUAUUUUUCUCCAUUCUCUUAAUCUAAACAAAAAACCUAAAUCUCGGCCAUGAAUCUCGCAUAGCUGCCAAAAUCUAAGGUGCUUUUCUAUUCCGGUUUGUUUCGUCUUCGAUUUGGUAGAUCCACAAGUGUUUUCAUCGGGAGUUCUGUUUAAUUUUUUGAUUUUGAAGCGCGAGUUCCAUGAUUUCAUCGGCAGAUCCAACGGUGGUGUGAUUCAAAUAUGGAACGUGAAGGAGAAGUGGUCUUAUAGCUUGUUGGUCUGAGCAACUCUCUUUGGAUGUUAUGCACAAUAAAGUCGACUGAGGAGAAGUCAUCUAAGCUUGAGACAUUAUUUUAGUUAAUGAGUCUAUAGGGUUAUAUUUGGCUUGCUCAUUGCUGUUCCAAUUGGAUUAGCAUACUACUUCUUGCUGGAUUUAUAAAGAAAGGCUAAGGAGAACCAUGGAAAUCUCCCUCCAUUUUGGGACCUAUUUCUCAAGACUCAUAGGCUAAAGGACUCAUACGAGUUAUGUUCACAACAAGCCAAAGAAAUUGAGGAGAGGGUUUUGGCAAGGGCUAAAGAGUUGUGUGCUGAAGGGGAAGAUCCAGAUUACGAUGCAAUCUUUCUCGAGCUUUUUGGGAGGGUUAAGAAAAGGAAACAGGUUCCUGGAGUUGGGCAAGCGACAAGCUUGUAUUUUCCAUUUGCUACCAGCUCAGCUGAGGGCUCUGCAUCUUCCGGCUCGUCAUGCCUCAGCACUGAUCAGGUUGAUGAGCUUUUCGAGCGACGAGUACAGCCUUUGCAUCAAGAGAUCGAAGAAUUGCGAGAGCUAGUAAAAGUCCUCAGUCAGCAAGUUCAAGCAAGUUCAAGAGUCUAGAAGUGGCUAGUAGUAUUUGAACUAAAUUGUGGAAACUAGUAGUAUUAUAACUUAAUUUGUGAUUUGAUUUAAUUGAAGUGCGAAACAAUAUUUUGUAUCUAUGUAAAAUUUGAAUUUUCGUCA